CCUACGGGUGGCAGCAGUGGGGGAUAUUGCACAAUGGGGGGAACUCUGAUGCAGCGACGCCGCGUGGGUGAAGACGCGCCUCGGCGUGUUAAGCUCUGUCAGCAGGGAAGAAAAAGAAGGUACGUGUAGCAGAAGACCCGGCUAACUACGUGCCAGCAGCCGCGGUAAUACGGAGGGGGCCAGCGUUAUCCGGAUUUACUGGGUGUUAAGGGGGCGCAGACGGCGAUGCAGGCCAGGAGUGAAAGUCCGGGGCCCAACCCCGGGACUGCUCUUGGAACUGGGUGGCUUGAGUGCAGGAGGGGCAGGCGGAAUUCCUGGUGUAGCGGUGAAAUGCGUAGAUAUCAGGAGGAACACCGGUGGCGAAGGCGGCCUACUGGACUGCAACUGACGUUGAGGCCCGAAAGCGUGGGGAGCAAACAGGAUUAGAUACCCUGGUAGUC
rnacentral:rRNA from 1 species